rnacentral:lncRNA from 1 species
AUGACUGGCUAUAAAUUAAUUUGGUACUUAUGAUUAUGAAAGUCGGUGGGAAAGGAGAAGGAGGAUAUGUAUGGCACGGGUCAUUAAUGUUGGGAGUCUAUACAGUUGAAGGAAAGGUCUCAGAUCACAAUGCUUCUUUAAUGUCGAUAAUAACUCCAACUUCCCCAAUUAGUUCAUUAUAAGAAGAAAAACAACACAGCAAAAUUAGGUUAUGAGAAUCAUAAAACUCUUAAGACUUUAGAAUAACAAAUGUUGCUUACAUUUAUACUCAAGCAACAAACCACUCCAUCUAUGAUGAAGUCUAUUAAUGUAACUCCCUUUAUUUCGUUGAAUUUUUGAAACAAAAAAUAUGUUUACAAGUAACU